GAUGAACGCUAGCGGCAGGCUUAACACAUGCAAGUCGAGGGGCAGCGCGAUAGUAGCAAUACUGUUGGCGGCGACCGGCGCAAGGGUGCGUAACGCGUGAGCAACUUGCCCGCAACAGGAGGAUAACCAGAGGAAACUCUGACUAAAACUGCAUAAGAUAAUAGAUAGGCAUCUAUCAGAUAUAAAAGAUACGUUGGUUGCGGAUAGGCUCGCGUGACAUUAGCUAGAUGGAGAGGUAACGGCUCACCAUGGCGACGAUGUCUAGGGGUUCUGAGAGGAAGACCCCCCACACUGGAACUGAGACACGGUCCAGACUCCUACGGGAGGCAGCAGUGAGGAAUAUUGGACAAUGGUCGGAAGACUGAUCCAGCCAUGCCGCGUGAAGGAUAAGGUCCUAUGGAUUGUAAACUUCUUUUGUGCGAGAGGAAUAAGGUAUAUGUAUAUAUCGAUGACAGUAUCGUACGAAUAAGCAUCGGCUAACUCCGUG
rnacentral:rRNA from 1 species